rnacentral:rRNA from 1 species
CAUGGCUGUCGUCAGCUCGUGUCGUGAGGUGUUGGGUUAAGUCCCGCAACGAGCGCAACCCUAUUUUUAGUUGCCAUCAGGUUAAGCUGGGCACUCUAAAGAGACUGCCGUCGAUAAGGCGGAGGAAGGUGGGGACGACGUCAAGUCAUCAUGGCCCUUAUGUCUAGGGCUACACACGUGCUACAAUGGGUUAUACAGAGGGCAGCUAGCUCGCGAGAGUCUGCGAAUCCCUUAAAGUAAUCCUCAGUUCGGAUUGUAGUCUGCAACUCGACUACAUGAAGUUGGAAUCGCUAGUAAUCGCAGGUCAGCAAAACUGCGGUGAAUACGUUCCCGGGCCUU